UACGUAGGGGGCAAGCGUUAUCCGGAUUUACUGGGUGUAAAGGGAGCGUAGACGGCGGUGCAAGCCAGAUGUGAAAGCCCGGGGCUCAACCCCGGGACUGCAUUUGGAACUGUGCUGCUAGAGUGUCGGAGAGGCAGGCGGAAUUCCUAGUGUAGCGGUGAAAUGCGUAGAUAUUAGGAGGAACACCAGUGGCGAAGGCGGCCUGCUGGACGAUGACUGACGUUGAGGCUCGAAAGCGUGGGGAGCAAACGGG
rnacentral:rRNA from 1 species